rnacentral:rRNA from 1 species
UACGGAGGGUGCAAGCGUUAAUCGGAAUUACUGGGCGUAAAGGGUUCGUAGGCGGUUAUAUAAGUCAGAUGUGAAAUCCCUGGGCUCAACCUAGGAAUUGCAUAUGAUACUGUAUGACUAGAGUGCAGUAGAGGAGUGGGGAAUUCCUGGUGUAGCGGUGAAAUGCGUAGAUAUCAGGAGGAACACCAAUGGCGAAGGCAACACUCUGGGCUGUAACUGACGCUGAGGGACGAAAGCGUGGGGAUCAAACAGGAUUAGAUACCCUGGUAGUCCACGCUGUAAACGAUGAGUACUAGCUGUUGGAUUCGGUGUAAAGGAUCUAGUGGCGAAGCUAACGCGGUAAGUACUCCGCCUGGGGACUACGGUCGCAAGACUAAAACUCAAAGGAAUUGACGGGGACCCGCACAAGCGGUGGAGCAUGUGGUUUAAUUCGAUGCAACGCGAAGAACCUUACCCGGUCUUGACAUCCACAGAAUUUUCCAGAGAUGGAUUGGUGCCUUCGGGAGCUGUGAGGCAGGUGCUGCAUGGCUGUCGUCAGCUCGUGUUGUGAAAUGUUGGGUUAAGUCCCGCAACGAGCGCAACCCUUAUUGAUAGUUGCUAACGCGUUAUGGUGAGCACUCUAUUGAGACUGCCGGUGAUAAACCGGAGGAAGGUGGGGACGACGUCAAGUCAUCAUGGCCCUUACGACCGGGGCUACACCCGUGCUCCAAUGGGCAUUACAGAGGGAUGCGAAGCUGCGAGGGGGAGCGAAACCCAGAAAGGUGUUCAUAGUCCGGAUUGCAGUCUGCAACUCGACUGCAUGAAGUCGGAAUCGCUAGUAAUCGCAGAUCAGAAUGCUGCGGUGAAUACGUUCCCGGGUCU